GUCCUUUGGACAAUGGUAGGAGAGCGUUCUAAGGGCGUUGAAGCAUGAUCGUAAGGACAUGUGGAGCGCUUAGAAGUGAGAAUGCCGGUGUGAGUAGCGAAAGACGGGUGAGAAUCCCGUCCACCGAUUGACUAAGGUUUCCAGAGGAAGGCUCGUCCGCUCUGGGUUAGUCGGGUCCUAAGCUGAGGCCGACAGGCGUAGGCGAUGGAUAACAGGUUGAUAUUCCUGUACCACCUAUAAUCGUUUUAAUCGAUGGGGGGACGCAGUAGGAUAGGCGAAGCGUGCGAUUGGAUUGCACGUCUAAGCAGUAAGGCUGAGUAUUAGGCAAAUCCGGUACUCGUUAAGGCUGAGCUGUGAUGGGGAGAAGACAUUGAGUCUUCGAGUCGUUGAUUUCACACUGCCGAGAAAAGCCUCUAGAUAGAAAAUAGGUGCCCGUACCGCAAACCGACACAGGUAGUCAAGAUGAGAAUUCUAAGGUGAGCGAGCGAACUCUCGUUAAGGAACUCGGCAAAAUGACCCCGUAACUUCGGGAGAAGGGGUGCUCUUUAGGGUUAACGCCCAGAAGAGCCGCAGUGAAUAGGCCCAAGCGACUGUUUAUCAAAAACACAGGUCUCUGCUAAACCGUAAGGUGAUGUAUAGGGGCUGACGCCUGCCCGGUGCUGGAAGGUUAAGAGGAGUGGUUAGCUUCUGCGAAGCUACGAAUCGAAGCCCCAGUAAACGGCGGCCGUAACUAUAACGGUCCUAAGGUAGCGAAAUUCCUUGUCGGGUAAGUUCCGACCCGCACGAAAGGCGUAACGAUUUGGGCACUGUCUCAACGAGAGACUCGGUGAAAUCAUAGUACCUGUGAAGAUGCAGGUUACCCGCGACAGGACGGAAAGACCCCGUGGAGCUUUACUGUAGCCUGAUAUUGAAAUUCGGCACAGCUUGUACAGGAUAGGUAGGAGCCUUUGAAACGUGAGCGCUAGCUUACGUGGAGGCGCUGGUGGGAUACUACCCUAGCUGUGUUGGCUUUCUAACCCGCACCACUUAUCGUGGUGGGAGACAGUGUCAGGCGGGCAGUUUGACUGGGGCGGUCGCCUCCUAAAAGGUAACGGAGGCGCUCAAAGGUUCCCUCAGAAUGGUUGGAAAUCAUUCAUAGAGUGUAAAGGCAUAAGGGAGCUUGACUGCGAGACCUACAAGUCGAGCAGGGUCGAAAGACGGACUUAGUGAUCCGGUGGUUCCGCAUGGAAGGGCCAUCGCUCAACGGAUAAAAGCUACCCCGGGGAUAACAGGCUUAUCUCCCCCAAGAGUUCACAUCGACGGGGAGGUUUGGCACCUCGAUGUCGGCUCAUCGCAUCCUGGGGCUGUAGUCGGUCCCAAGGGUUGGGCUGUUCGCCCAUUAAAGCGGUACGCGAGCUGGGUUCAGAACGUCGUGAGACAGUUCGGUCCCUAUCCGUCGUGGGCGUAGGAAAUUUGAGAGGAGCUGUCCUUAGUACGAGAGGACCGGGAUGGACAUACCUCUGGUGUACCAGUUGUCGUGCCAACGGCAUAGCUGGGUAGCUAUGUGUGGACGGGAUAAGUGCUGAAAGCAUCUAAGCAUGAAGCCCCCCUCAAGAUGAGAUUUCCCAACUUCGGUUAUAAGAUCCCUCAAAGAUGAUGAGGUUAAUAGGUUCGAGGUGGAAGCAUGGUGACAUGUGGAGCUGACGAAUACUAAUCGAUCGAAGACUUAAUCAA
rnacentral:rRNA from 1 species